rnacentral:rRNA from 1 species
GACAGAGGGUGCAAACGUUGCUCGGAAUCACUGGGCGUAGAGGGCGCGUAGGCGGCCUGGCAAGUCGGGGGUGAAAGCCUGUGGCUCAACCACAGAAUGGCCUUCGAUACUGCCGGGCUCGAGACCGGAAGAGGUCAGUGGAACUGCGAGUGUAGAGGUGAAAUUCGUAGAUAUUCGCAAGAACACCAGUGGCGAAGGCGGCUGACUGGUCCGGUUCUGACGCUGAGGCGCGAAAGCGUGGGGAGCAAACAGG